ACUGCACUGUUUGAGGACGGGGUGUCCUCUUUUCCUAAAAUGCAGAGAUGUUAGAAAGAGGUGCAGGGCGUUGCGGCCGGAAGAGGUGAGGUUGCAAUUACUGAAUUGUAACUCGGCGAAGGACUGUGUUCAUGCUCUACUGAACCUGAAGAAGCUAUCCGGUCGUUUGCCUGAUUCUUUGGGUUCAGAUAGGAUCCAUGGUGAUCAGUGAUUUAACCGUGCAUGUUAGUUAAUGGAAUACGGAGGGUUCCAUUCAGAAAAAUAAAGGGCCAUUCCCGUCGCCACCAUGUUGUUUAUUUUUUACUACUGCAUUGUUGUUGGGGACGGAAGAUCCGAACCUGAAAACAUAAUCAAGUUUCUGUCCUGGAAGCGUCGAGAGGGCCACGUGCCCAGGUGCGUCAAGUUCCCCCACCGAUUACAGACACACCCACCAUGCGUGUUCGACAACUUCAGCGCCAGCGUGUCCGUGGACGGGAGCAUCGUCAACCUCGGUCUCUGGGAGUGGGACACCGCAGGUCAAGAGGAUUACAGCAGGUUGAGGCCUCUGAGGCUGAGCUUCAGGGGAGCUGAUGUGUUCAUCCUGUCCUUCUCCCUCACCAGCGGAGCAAGCUAUGAGAAUGUUCACAAGGAGGCACUCAAAUUUCAUUCUUCCCUACCUCGGUUUUUGUUUUUCAAGGCAAGGAUUACUUCAUUUUAUUUGAUCGAAGCUAUCAGCUGCAUACUAAUGGCCUGAAUUUCUUCUGAGAGGUGGAUGCCGGAGCUUCGCCGGUUUGCGCCUGGCAUUGCUGUCGUCCUUGUUGCCUUGUUGGGACCAAGUUGGCUAUGCCAUAUGUUCUUCGUGACACGUUCUUUCUAUGCUUGCCUUGUUUGCUGCCAUUCAAAUCCACAUAUGAAUUUGGUAUCGUAUCAAGUAGCAAAUGCAAUGUAUCUGAUGGAUGUUGACAGAAUAUUAAGGCUGUGAUUCGACCUCCAAGGCAUAAGGAGACAACUAGAAAGGAAAUUCAGACGGUCGGGAUUACUUCGGCGGAAGUGCUUGUUUUGUAUAGCCGUGAAGAACAUUGCAGUCUUUCCUCGUAGCGAGCAGCUACAAGAACCUCCUAGUUCUCUACUUCUCUUGUGCACUCUAGUGAAGCAAUUUUGCCACCCCGAUGUAGUAAAAUCAGAUGAUUAAACGCUCCUAUGGAUGAUACUUCAGAUCUCCCUCUCCCUGUGUGCACGCAUGUGUGAAAAGAAAAACAACCCCGAGUCCUCUUCGCCUCGAAUUGUGGUGUCUCUUCUUCUAGUUGUAAAAUCCCAUUGAAGACAAUCUAAGGGAAUUAUAUUCCUACGAAA